rnacentral:rRNA from 1 species
UCGAACGGGUGAGUAACACGUUGGAAUCUACCUCGGACUCAGGGAUAACCCGCCUAACGGCGGAUUAAUACCGGAUGGCCCCGCAAGGGUAAAGCUUUUGCGGUCCGAGAGGAUCCUGCGGCCUAUCAGCUUGUUGGUAAGGUAAUGGCUUACCAAGGCUAUGACGGGUAGCUGGUCUGAGAGGAUGACCAGUCACAAUGGGACUGAGACACGGCCCAUACUCCUACGGGAGGCAGCAGUAAAGAAUCUUCCACAAUGGACGAAAGUCUGAUGGAGCAAUACCGCGUGAACGAUGAAUGUCGAAAGAUUGUAAAGUUCUUUUCUGAGGGAAGAAUUAUGACGGUACCUUAGGAAUAAGCACCGGCUAACUCCGUGCCAGCAGCCGCGGUAAUACGGAGGGUGCAAGCGUUACCCGGAAUUAUUGGGCGUAAGGCGUCCGCAGGCGGCGAAUUAAGUUGGUUAUUAAAUCUUGAAGCCCAACUUCAAGGCUGUAACCAAAACUGAUUUGCUAGAGAUUUCUAGAGGCAUGUGGAAUUCUGUGUGUAGGGGUAAAAUCCGUAGAUACACAGAGGAACACCAAAAGCGAAGGCAACAUGCUGGAGAAAUUCUGACGCUCAUGGACGAAAGCGUGGGUAGCGAACGGGAUUAGAUACCCCGGUAGUCCACGCCGUAAACGAUGGAUACUAGUUGUUGGAGGACUCGACCCCUUCAGUGACGACGCUAACGCAUUAAGUAUCCCGCCUGGGGAGUACGGUCGCAAGAUUAAAACUCAAAGGAAUAGACGGGGACCCACACAAGCGGUGGAGCAUCUGGCUUAAUUCGAUAAUGAGCGAGGAACCUUACCUAGGUUUGACAUCCCGAGAAUUUUCUGGAAACAGAAAAGUGCCUUAUGGAACUCGGUGACAGGUGCUGCAUGGUUGUCGUCAGCUCGUGCCUUGAGGUGUUCGGUUAAGUCCGUAAACGAGCGCAACCCAUGUCCUGUGUUGUAUUUUUCACAGGAGACUGCCCCGCAUAACGGGGAGGAAGGUAUGGAUGACGUCAAAUCAGCAUGGCCCUUAUACCUAGGGCUGCACAGGUGCUACAAUGGCUAGUACAAUUGGUAGCAAUGCCGCAAGGCGGAGCCAAUCCACAAAGCUAGUCUAAGUUCGGAUUGAGGGCUGCAAUUCGCCCUCAUGAAGUUGGAAUCGCUAGUAAACGCGGAUCAGCAAUGGCGCGUUGAAUAUGUUCCUGGGUCUUGUACUCACCGCCCGUCAUACUACGGAAGGUGGAGGUGCCCGAAGUGCCCUUACUCGCCUCGGCGAGGGGGUCCUAAGGUAAAGCCACUGACUGGAGUAAAGUCGUAACAAGGUA